rnacentral:lncRNA from 1 species
UUUCGGUUUCUUUAUUGGGUUUUGAUGAUAGGAUUUAAUGCAAACUUUAUGCCUCGUUAUCAUCUCAUAGUUGUCUAAUUAAAGAUAAUUCAAGGCACCAUUUUCAUCUUUCUAGAACACAAAUCAUCACACCAAUAUUCAUCCAUUUCAAAGCAUAUCUCUUAAAGCAAAUGACACCCCAUAUCAUAUUACACGAAUUCUCAUAUCUAGAAUCUGCAAGAUCACUCUCUAAUUCACGAAUUUGAGCAAGGAUCAAAUCGAGGGCAUGGUACUUGGUGAACUGACAUCUUCUUCAUUUCUUCAUCAAAUCAGGAAAUCAUGUGUGACAAGAUGAGAAUAACGAUACGUUGACGAUGACGUAGACAAAUAAAUUGGAUUUUAUUUUAUUUUUCAUGACUUUGAAUUUUGUAUGAAUUAUUUGAAACUCAUUUGUUAUGU